AAGCUGAGGCUAUUUUCGCUCAGAUGAGAAAAAAUGGCCACCCCCCAAGUAUAGUUGUAUACAAUGCUUACAUUGAUGGGUUAAUAAAGGGAAGAAACUCGCGAAAAGUUGAAGAGAUCUUUGAAAGGAUGAAAAGAGAUCAUUGCCAACCAACAACUGACACUUAUACCAUGUUAAUUAACCUAUAUGGAAAGGCAAAAAAGUCCUAUAUGGCCUUGAAGCUGUUUAAUGAAAUGAGAAGUUAGAAAUGUAAACCUAAUAUUUGCACAUAUACUGCUUUGGUAAAUGCAUUUGCUAGGGAUGGACUUUGUGAAAAAGCAGAAGAAACAUUUGAGCAGCUACAGGAAGCUGGGUAUGAGCCUGAUGUCUAUGCUUAUAAUGCUCUU